UCAUUUUCCCUGGUAAAUUUUAAGACGUCAAAGCAUUCGAAAUUUUCAUUUUUUCUAUAUUUGCUAAAGUCUGGGGGCUUUUGGUCUUGAAAACUGCCAGAAACACGCGCAUUUUCAAGUGUUUUUUUUCACGCUGAGUGCCAAAAAUUUACAUAAUCUUAAUGCAAAGUUGCUACCGAAUGGGCCAAGAGGGGGUUGAUGGACCGGCAGACCGGCGUGGCCGCGGCAGUUUCUUCAAAGGCGCAGACAGCGAUGCGUCAACAGCAACAACAACCAGAACAAAACACUUAAAAUGUGGCCAGCAGAAGGGCAAAGAGUCAAGCCAUAAACAGCUCGAGCAGACAGAAACGGAACUGAGCUCGCAACUCAAGCGCGAGAUGGAAUCAAAGUUAGAGUUGGAGUCGGAUUUAAAAAUGGACUCCAAGAUUCGGGCUGCUCUCGAAUGUGCCUGCAACUAAUGGAAGUUACCGAUUCGUUCCACUUCCAAUUCCAAUUCGAAUACAUGUUCAGCAACCCGUUGAUUUUGUGUGUGUGUGCGAAAAGUUGACAACAAGCAAAUAACUGUUGCAAUCGUUUUGGGGCAGGGGCUGAGGCUCAAUAUGUGUGUACGAGGGGGGGCUGUGAUUUGAGGUCUAUGCGUUCCGAGGGGCGGCAAAACUAUCGCCAGGCACGUCUUGGGAAAGCGCCGCGCGCGUUUUUGGUUUGAGACAAAGCCAAAAAAGGACAAAGGAGUAGAGGGUAAAGGGAAAAGGCGCAACCCUUCCAAGACGUUUGGGAUCUUGGCUUUAUCUUGCGGUUCGUAUCACUGUUCUAUUCAAUUUACAAUAGCCCCGUGCACCCCGCGCCAGCAGCUCCCCCCAUCGCAAUUGACAGUCGUUAGCAUAAUUAUUACACACGGCUUAGUUGGGUUGACGGGCAGAGAGGGUGACAAUCGCUGCCCUUGGCAAGGGAGAGGGGAUGGGUUGGUUGGUGGCGUGGGUUGGUGGAUUGUAAGCUAAUACCCGAAACGCACACCCCCCACACCAGCAAAUGUCAACGUUCGCCUGCAGCGUGAGCUAUGGCCAAGUAUUUGUCAUUUAAUAAAAAAUAAAUUGUUAAAGAAAUGUGAACUGCCUGAAGGAGGGCUAAAAA